UACGGAAGGCAGCAGUGGGGAAUAUUGCACAAUGGGCGCAAGCCUGAUGCAGCCAUGCCGCGUGUAUGAAGAAGGCCUUCGGGUUGUAAAGUACUUUCAGCGGGGAGGAAGGCGAUGCGGUUAAUAACCGCGUCGAUUGACGUUACCCGCAGAAGAAGCACCGGCUAACUCCGUGCCAGCAGCCGCGGUAAUACGGAGGGUGCAAGCGUUAAUCGGAAUUACUGGGCGUAAAGCGCACGCAGGCGGUCUGUUAAGUCAGAUGUGAAAUCCCCGGGCUUAACCUGGGAACUGCAUUUUGAACUGGCAGGCUUGAGUCUUGUAGAGGGGGUAGAAUUCCAGGUGUAGCGGUGAAAUGCGUAGAGAUCUGGAGGAAUACCGGUGGCGAAGGCGGCCCCUGGGACAAGACUGACGCUCAGGUGCGAAAGCGUGGGGAGCAAACAGGAUUAGAUACC
rnacentral:rRNA from 1 species